rnacentral:rRNA from 1 species
GACGAACGCUGGCGGCGUGCUUAACACAUGCAAGUGGAGCGACGAACCAGGCUUCGGCCUGGGGCAAAGCCGCGAACGGGUGAGUAACACGUGGGUAACCUGCCCCGAUGACUGGGACAACCCGGGGAAACCCGGGCUAAUACCGGAUGUGCUCUCAUCACAUCAGUGAUGUGAGUAAAGGUAGCUUCGGCCUCCGCAUCGGGA